GAUAAACGCUGGCGGCGUGCCUAAUACAUGCAAGUCGAGCGAACGGACGAGAAGCUUGCUUCUCUGAUGUUAGCGGCGGACGGGUGAGUAACACGUGGAUAACCUACCUAUAAGACUGGGAUAACUUCGGGAAACCGGAGCUAAUACCGGAUAAUAUUUUGAACCGCAUGGUUCAAAAGUGAAAGACGGUCUUGCUGUCACUUAUAGAUGGAUCCGCGCUGCAUUAGCUAGUUGGUAAGGUAACGGCUUACCAAGGCAACGAUGCAUAGCCGACCUGAGAGGGUGAUCGGCCACACUGGAAUUGAGACACGGUCCAGACUCCUACGGGAGGCAGCAGUAGGGAAUCUUCCGCAAUGGGCGAAAGCCUGACGGAGCAACGCCGCGUGAGUGAUGAAGGUCUUCGGAUCGUAAAACUCUGUUAUUAGGGAAGAACAUAUGUGUAAGUAACUGUGCACAUCUUGACGGUACCUAAUCAGAAAGCCACGGCUAACUACGUGCCAGCAGCCGCGGUAAUACGUAGGUGGCAAGCGUUAUCCGGAAUUAUUGGGCGUAAAGCGCGCGUAGGCGGUUUUUUAAGUCUGAUGUGAAAGCCCACGGCUCAACCGUGGAGGGUCAUUGGAAACUGGAAAACUUGAGUGCAGAAGAGGAAAGUGGAAUUCCAUGUGUAGCGGUGAAAUGCGCAGAGAUAUGGAGGAACACCAGUGGCGAAGGCGACUUUCUGGUCUGUAACUGACGCUGAUGUGCGAAAGCGUGGGGAUCAAACAGGAUUAGAUACCCUGGUAGUCCACGCCGUAAACGAUGAGUGCUAAGUGUUAGGGGGUUUCCGCCCCUUAGUGCUGCAGCUAACGCAUUAAGCACUCCGCCUGGGGAGUACGACCGCAAGGUUGAAACUCAAAGGAAUUGACGGGGACCCGCACAAGCGGUGGAGCAUGUGGUUUAAUUCGAAGCAACGCGAAGAACCUUACCAAAUCUUGACAUCCUUUGACAACUCUAGAGAUAGAGCCUUCCCCUUCGGGGGACAAAGUGACAGGUGGUGCAUGGUUGUCGUCAGCUCGUGUCGUGAGAUGUUGGGUUAAGUCCCGCAACGAGCGCAACCCUUAAGCUUAGUUGCCAUCAUUAAGUUGGGCACUCUAAGUUGACUGCCGGUGACAAACCGGAGGAAGGUGGGGAUGACGUCAAAUCAUCAUGCCCCUUAUGAUUUGGGCUACACACGUGCUACAAUGGACAAUACAAAGGGCAGCGAAACCGCGAGGUCAAGCAAAUCCCAUAAAGUUGUUCUCAGUUCGGAUUGUAGUCUGCAACUCGACUACAUGAAGCUGGAAUCGCUAGUAAUCGUAGAUCAGCAUGCUACGGUGAAUACGUUCCCGGGUCU
rnacentral:rRNA from 1 species